rnacentral:rRNA from 1 species
UGGGGAAUUUUGGACAAUGGGCGAAAGCCUGAUCCAGCAAUGCCGCGUGUGUGAAGAAGGCCUUCGGGUUGUAAAGCACUUUUGUCCGGAAAGAAAUCCUUGGCUCUAAUACAGUCGGGGGAUGACGGUACCGGAAGAAUAAGCACCGGCUAACUACGUGCCAGCAGCCGCGGUAAUACGUAGGGUGCAAGCGUUAAUCGGAAUUACUGGGCGUAAAGCGUGCGCAGGCGGUUUGCUAAGACCGAUGUGAAAUCCCCGGGCUCAACCUGGGAACUGCAUUGGUGACUGGCAGGCUAGAGUAUGGCAGAGGGGGGUAGAAUUCCACGUGUAGCAGUGAAAUGCGUAGAGAUGUGGAGGAAUACCGAUGGCGAAGGCAGCCCCCUGGGCCAAUACUGACGCUCAUGCACGAAAGCGUGGGGAGCAAACAGGAUUAGAUACCCUGGUAGUCCACGCCCUAAACGAUGUCAACUAGUUGUUGGGGAUUCAUUCCUUAGUAACGUAGCUAACGCGUGAAGUUGACCGCCUGGGGAGUACGGUCGCAA